GUGGGGAAUAUUGGACAAUGGGCGAAAGCCUGAUCCAGCCAUGCCGCGUGUGUGAAGAAGGUCUUCGGAUUGUAAAGCACUUUAAGUUGGGAGGAAGGGCAGUAAGUUAAUACCUUGCUGUUUUGACGUUACCGACAGAAUAAGCACCGGCUAACUUCGUGCCAGCAGCCGCGGUAAUACGAAGGGUGCAAGCGUUAAUCGGAAUUACUGGGCGUAAAGCGCGCGUAGGUGGUUUUGUAAGUUGGAGGUGAAAUCCCCGGGCUCAACCUGGGAACUGACUCCAAAACUGCAUGACUAGAGUACGGUAGAGGGUAGUGGAAUUUCCUGUGUAGCGGUGAAAUGCGUAGAUAUAGGAAGGAACACCAGUGGCGAAGGCGACUACCUGGACUGAUACUGACACUGAGGUGCGAAAGCGUGGGGAGCAAACAGGAGUAGAUACCCUUGUAGUCC
rnacentral:rRNA from 1 species